UGGAGGAAAGUAGGGGAUCGAAAGACCUUAUGCUUUAAGAGCGGCCGAUGUCUGAUUAGCUAGUUGGUGAGGUAAUGGCUUACCAAGGCGACGAUCAGUAGUUGGUCUGAGAGGACGACCAGCCACACUGGGACUGAGACACGGCCCAGACUCCUACGGGAGGCAGCAGUGGGGAAUUUUGGACAAUGGGCGCAAGCCUGAUCCAGCAAUGCCGCGUGAGUGAAGAAGGCCUUCGGGUUGUAAAGCUCUUUCAGUUGAGAAGAAAAAAUUGUGACUAAUAAUCACAAUUGAUGACGGUAUCAACAGAAGAAGCACCGGCUAACUACGUGCCAGCAGCCGCGGUAAUACGUAGGGUGCGAGCGUUAAUCGGAAUUACUGGGCGUAAAGGGUGCGCAGGCGGUUUUGUAAGUCAGAUGUGAAAUCCCCGGGCUUAACCUGGGAAUUGCGUUUGAAACUACAAAGCUAGA
rnacentral:rRNA from 1 species